rnacentral:tRNA from 4 species
GCCCGGAUGGCGAAAUUGGUAGACGCAAGGGACUUAAAAUCCCUCGGUGGAAACACCGUGCCGGUUCGAUUCCGGCUCCGGGCACCA